rnacentral:rRNA from 1 species
GGGUUGUGAGGUUAAGCGACUAAGCGUACACGGUGGAUGCCCUGGCAGUCAGAGGCGAUGAAGGACGUGCUAAUCUGCGAUAAGCGCCGGUAAGGUGAUAUGAACCGUUAUAACCGGCGAUUUCCGAAUGGGGAAACCCAGUGUGAUUCGUCACACUAUCAUUAACUGAAUCCAUAGGUUAAUGAGGCGAACCGGGGGAACUGAAACAUCUAAGUACCCCGAGGAAAAGAAAUCAACCGAGAUUCCCCAGUAGCGGCGAGCGAACGGGGAGGAGCCCAGAGCCUGAAUCAGCAUGUGUGUUAGUGGAAGCGUCUGGAAAGGUGCGCGAUACAGGGUGACAGCCCCGUACACAAAAGCGCAUGUGCUGUGAGCUCGAUGAGUAGGGCGGGACACGUGGUAUCCUGUCUGAAUAUGGGGGGACCAUCCUCCAAGGCUAAAUACUCCUGACUGACCGAUAGUGAACCAGUACCGUGAGGGAAAGGCGAAAAGAACCCCGGCGAGGGGAGUGAAAAAGAACCUGAAACCGUGUACGUACAAGCAGUGGGAGCACCCUUCGGGGUGUGACUGCGUACCUUUUGUAUAAUGGGUCAGCGACUUAUAUUCUGUAGCAAGGUUAACCGUAUAGGGGAGCCGGAGGGAAACCGAGUCUUAAUUGGGCGUUAAGUUGCAGGGUAUAGACCCGAAACCCGGUGAUCUAGCCAUGGGCAGGGGGAACGCUGGGUAACACUAACUGGAGGACCGAACCGACUAAUGUUGAAAAAUUAGCGGAUGACCUGUGGCUGGGGUGAAAGGCCAAUCAAACCGGGAGAUAGCUGGUUCUCCCCGAAAGCUAGUUAGGUAGCGCCUCGUGAAUUCAUCUCCGGGGGUAGAGCAAGCGAAUACCGGAGAAUGUUAUCACGGGAGACACACGGCGGGUGCUAACGUCCGUCGUGAAGAGGGAAACAACCCAGACCGCCAGCUAAGGUCCCAAAGUCAUGGUUAAGUGGGGAAACGAUGUGGGAAGGCCCAGACAGCCAGGAUGUUGGCUUAGAAGCAGCCAUCAUUUAAAGAAAGCGUAAUAGCUCACUGGUCGAGUCGGCCUGCGCGGAAGAUGUAACGGGGCUAAACCAUGCACCGAAGCUGCGGCAGCGACGCUGAUGCGUUGUUGGGUAGGGGAGCGUUCUGUAAGCCUGCGAAGGUGACCUGUGAGGGUUGCUGGAGGUAUCAGAAGUGCGAAUGCUGACAUAAGUAACGAUAAAGCGGGUGAAAAGCCCGCUCGCCGGAAGACCAAGGGUUCCUGUCCAACGUUAAUCGGGGCAGGGUGAGUCGACCCCUAAGGCGAGGCCGAAAGGCGUAGUCGAUGGGAAACGGGUUAAUAUUCCCGUACUUUUUCUUACUGCGAAGGGGGGACGGAGAAGGCUAUGUUGGCCGGGCGACGGUUGUCCCGGUUUAAGCGUGUAGGUGUGUGUUCCAGGUAAAUCCGGUUCACUUUAACACUGAGGCGUGAUGACGAGGCACUACGGUGCUGAAGCAACAAAUGCCCUGCUUCCAGGAAAAGCCUCUAAGCAUCAGGUAACAUCAAAUCGUACCCCAAACCGACACAGGUGGUCAGGUAGAGAAUACCAAGGCGCUUGAGAGAACUCGGGUGAAGGAACUAGGCAAAAUGGUGCCGUAACUUCGGGAGAAGGCACGCUGACACGUAGGUGAAGUGAUUUACUCACGGAGCUGAAGUCAGUCGAAGAUACCAGCUGGCUGCAACUGUUUAUUAAAAACACAGCACUGUGCAAACACGAAAGUGGACGUAUACGGUGUGACGCCUGCCCGGUGCCGGAAGGUUAAUUGAUGGGGUCAGCGCAAGCGAAGCUCCUGAUCGAAGCCCCGGUAAACGGCGGCCGUAACUAUAACGGACCUAAGGUAGCGAAAUUCCUUGUCGGGUAAGUUCCGACCUGCACGAAUGGCGUAAUGAUGGCCAGGCUGUCUCCACCCGAGACUCAGUGAAAUUGAACUCGCUGUGAAGAUGCAGUGUACCCGCGGCAAGACGGAAAGACCCCGUGAACCUUUACUAUAGCUUGACACUGAACAUUGAGCCUUGAUGUGUAGGAUAGGUGGGAGGCUUUGAAGUGUGGACGCCAGUCUGCAUGGAGCCGACCUUGAAAUACCACCCUUUAAUGUUUGAUGUUCUAACGUGGACCCGUAAUCCGGGUUGCGGACAGUGUCUGGUGGGUAGUUUGACUGGGGCGGUCUCCUCCUAAAGAGUAACGGAGGAGCACGAAGGUUGGCUAAUCUGGUCGGACAUCAGGAGGUUAGUGCAAUGGCAUAAGCCAGCUUGACUGCGAGCGUGACGGCGCGAGCAGGUGCGAAAGCAGGUCAUAGUGAUCCGGUGGUUCUGAAUGGAAGGGCCAUCGCUCAACGGAUAAAAGGUACUCCGGGGAUAACAGGCUGAUACCGCCCAAGAGUUCAUAUCGACGGCGGUGUUUGGCACCUCGAUGUCGGCUCAUCACAUCCUGGGGCUGAAGUAGGUCCCAAAAGGGUAUGGCUGUUCGCCAUUUAAAGUGGAACGCCAGCUGGGUUUAGAACGUCGUGAGACAGUUCGGGCCCUAUCUGCCGUGGGCGCUGGAGAACUGAGGGGGGCUGCUCCUAGUACGAGAGGACCGGAGUGGACGCAUCACUGGUGUUCGGGUUGUCAUGCCAAUGGCACUGCCCGGUAGCUAAAUGCGGAAGAGAUAAGUGCUGAAAGCAUCUAAGCACGAAACUUGCCCCGAGAUGAGUUCUCCCUGAGACUUAGAGUCUCCUGAAGGAACGUUGAAGACGACGACGUUGAUAGGCCGGGUGUGUAAGCGCAGCGAUGCGUUGAGCUAACCGGUACUAAUGAACCGUGAGGCUUAACCUUACAACGCCGAAG